AUAUAUGUGUGCAUGUGUGCAUGCAUGCAUGUAUGUGUGUGUGUGUAUGUAUGUAUGUGU
rnacentral:pre_miRNA from 1 species